rnacentral:rRNA from 1 species
UACGAAGGGGGCUAGCGUUGCUCGGAAUCACUGGGCGUAAAGGGUGCGUAGGCGGGUCUUUAAGUCAGGGGUGAAAUCCUGGAGCUCAACUCCAGAACUGCCCUUGAUACUGGGGAUCUUGAGUCCGGAAGAGGUGAGUGGAACUCCGAGUGUAGAGGUGAAAUUCGUAGAUAUUCGGAAGAACACCAGUGGCGAAGGCGGCUCACUGGUCCGGUACUGACGCUGAGGUGCGAAAGCGUGGGGAGCAAACAGG